rnacentral:rRNA from 1 species
UGGCCGGUACAGAAAGCAGCGAAGUCGCGAGGCGGAGCAAAUCUCAAAAACCGGUCCCAGUUCGGACUGCAGGCUGCAACCCGCCUGCACGAAGCCGGAGUUGCUAGUAAUCGCGAAUCAGAAUGUCGCGGUGAAUGCGUUCCCGGGUCUUGUACACACCGCCCGUCACACCGUGGAAGUUGGGGGUGCCCAAAGCCGGCAAGCAAAUAUGCUGUCUAAGGCAAAACCAAUGACUGGGGUGAAGUCGUAACAAGGUAAC